GACGAACGCUGGCGGCGUGCCUAAUACAUGCAAUUAGAACGCUGAAGGAGGAGCUUGCUCUUCUGGAUGAGUUGCGAACGGGUGAGUAACGCGUAGGUAACCUGCCUGGUAGCGGGGGAUAACUAUUGGAAACGAUAGCUAAUACCGCAUAAGAGUAGAUGUUGCAUGACAUUUGCUUCAAAGGUGCAAUUGCCUCACUACUAGACGGACCUGCGUUGUAUUAGCUAGUUGGUGGGGUAAAGGCUCAGCAAGGCGACUGCACAUAACCGACGACGGAUGAUGAUCGGCGUCACUGAGAUUGAGACACGGCCCAGACUCCUACGGGGGGCAGCAGUAGGGAAUCUUCGGCAAUGGACGGAAGUCUGACCGAGCAACGACGCGUCAGUGAAGAAGGUUUUCGGAUCGUAAAGCUCCGUUGUAAGAGAAGAACGAGUGUGAGAGUGGAAAGUUCACACUGUGACGGUAUCUAACGAGAAAGGGACGGCUAACUACGUG
rnacentral:rRNA from 1 species